rnacentral:rRNA from 1 species
ACUCGAGUGGCGAACGGGUGAGUAACACGUGGGUGAUCUGCCCUGCACUUUGGGAUAAGCCUGGGAAACUGGGUCUAAUACCGAAUAUGAUCAUCGGCUUCAUGGUCGGUGGUGGAAAGCUUUUGCGGUGUGGGAUGGGCCCGCGGCCUAUCAGCUUGUUGGUGGGGUAAUGGCCUACCAAGGCGACGACGGGUAGCCGGCCUGAGAGGGUGACCGGCCACACUGGGACUGAGAUACGGCCCAGACUCCUACGGGAGGCAGCAGUGGGGAAUAUUGCACAAUGGGCGCAAGCCUGAUGCAGCGACGCCGCGUGAGGGAUGACGGCCUUCGGGUUGUAAACCUCUUUCAAUAGGGACGAAGCGCAAGUGACGGUACCUAUAGAAGAAGGACCGGCCAACUACGUGCCAGCAGCCGCGGUAAUACGUAGGGUCCGAGCGUUGUCCGGAAUUACUGGGCGUAAAGAGCUCGUAGGUGGUUUGUCGCGUUGUUCGUGAAAACUCACAGCUUAACUGUGGGCGUGCGGGCGAUACGGGCAGACUGGAGUACUGCAGGGGAGACUGGAAUUCCUGGUGUAGCGGUGGAAUGCGCAGAUAUCAGGAGGAACACCGGUGGCGAAGGCGGGUCUCUGGGCAGUAACUGACGCUGAGGAGCGAAAGCGUGGGGAGCGAACAGGAUUAGAUACCCUGGUAGUCCACGCCGUAAACGGUGGGUACUAGGUGUGGGUUUCCUUCCUUGGGAUCCGUGCCGUAGCUAACGCAUUAAGUACCCCGCCUGGGGAGUACGGCCGCAAGGCUAAAACUCAAAGGAAUUGACGGGGGCCCGCACAAGCGGCGGAGCAUGUGG